GAGUCUUGCCUUUCACGUUAAAUUCUGCAGUAAAAGUUUGGAAAAAUCAAGUGAUUCGGGGAUAGUCUUUCAGUCCCAAGUUAUUUUUAUUACUUCAAGUAUGAAUCCUUAGCAUUUUCUCUUCUUUCUUUUUUUUUCCCCUGUUUCCUUUUCUUAUUUUAGGUGGAGCAGAUGACAUGCUGCUUCUCCUUUCUUUCCUUUCUACCAUUUCUUUCACUGCUGUUGCAUUCAAUAAUGAAUUCUCCUAUUUUUCCAUUUUUCUCUCACCUAUCUAACUUCAACCUUCGCUCCCUAGAAUUCUGAAACAUUUAAACAUUUCUGCUUGUAAGAUGAUUUUAUUACUGUUUUAUUUUCCCAAGAAAAUAGUUUUAGGGUAAAGUGGAUGUUUUAACAUAUUAGUAAUCAGAGGUAGAUUGUUUUAACUUGAAGUCACUACUUUAAAUCCAUCCAAAUGAGUGAUUGAAACUUGUUUUCGUUUUAUAGCCUUCAGUAAUUCUACGCUUUAAGUCCAUGACUACUUACACCUAUUGGUCUUUUGCAAUUGCUGUGGUAUAUAGAAUGAAUAACAACGUAAAUAGCCUUUUUUCUAUGAUUACUUGAUGAUCAACUUAUCAAGGAUGAGUGUUGGCUAGCCCAUCAAGGGACAGGCUAUUAUGUGAUUACAGUAAAAAAUUGUCAAAUAUUCCAUGAAUCCAAGAAUGCUCUUGUGUAGGUGGUGGCCUACCUUUUUUUUAUUGUAUCAUAGUGUUUUCUGUUAGCAAGAGUAGGAGUGAGAGUUCCUUGCCCAUCCGUCCGGUAGGAGUCAGAACACACACAUGCUCCAUUUAGGAGCAUAUGGCAAAGAUAGACUAUUGCAGCUGAACAGCAAGAAAGGGCAACUGGUUUGCAUCAUCUGCUUUUCCCUUCACAUUCUCCUUCUAGUUUUGCUUCACAAAGCACAGAUUUUUUUUUUAAUGAAGAUGCGAGUAAAAUGAAGUUAGUUCCAUUACUACAUGAAUCAAUAGCAAUUUUCCUGUCCUGUGGGCAUAACCUACAUGAGAUUGUUUACUGCAUGGCUAGCCCUGCACUGAAGCACCCUCAUGCUCCAGUCAGCCCCUCUGCAGCAUGUUUUACUGAGGGAGCAGCCCCAGGCUGGCAGGCUGACUUUUGGGGGUCCCUGCCAGCCUAGGCUAUUCUGACCCAGCUCAUAGUGCUGUGGUCCUAGGUACACGUUCAGAUGGCAAUGAACUCCGAAGUUUAUUGCUCCCAGGCUCACAUUCAAAUGACAUGCCUGGGAGCAAUAAACUGAAGCAACAAAUGCUGAAGUUUGCCUCACAUUAAUUACAUGUGUGUGUUUCAGUAUCAGGAAAACCUAUUCUUGUGAAAGCUUUCAGAAGUUCAUCAAAUGAGUACUGAAAGUUUUUUGGGUGACCGGAAAAAUGAUCUUGAUCAUAUUUUUGCUAGACGCAUUUAUGCCAACAAUAUACCAUGUCAUAUAGUUGAAAAAGCUUAUGUGCUAGAUUUUUUUUUUUCAAAAACUACAUUCAAUUUACAAAGUUCCAAGAAGAGAAUCACUUGAGAGAAGUCUUCUGAAUGCUGAAGUGGAAGAUGUGAAAAAGUGUUGAUGUUCUUACUGCACAAGCUCCUCUUGUGUCUUUAGUAUCUGAUGGUAUAAAUAUUCACAAUGAUGGUGUCAUCAACUUUGUUCACAAAUCCAAAAUAUUUUACACAUUUCAGUGCACAACUGAGCAUCACCGCACAGCCCAAUAUAUGGUUGACCAGUUUAAACAUAUCGUCAAUAAUUUGGCUCUAUAGAAAGUUGAGUCAUUAUAGACUCCAAGAUGAACAUGGGCCGCCAAUGUGGGGAUGCAGUCAGGAAGGCUAACUGCACCUUGUCCAGAUGCAUCACGAGCAGGUCCUCUGAGAGGUGAUCCUCCCUCUCCUAUAUGACGGUGGUCAGGCCACAGUUGGAGUACUGCGUCCAGUUCUGGGCACCACACUUCAGGAGGAAUGUGGACAACAUCAAGAGGGUCCAGAGGAGGGCCACUCGCAUGAUCGGGGGGCAGCAGGGCAGGCCCUUCAACAAGAGGCUAUGAGACCUGAACCUGUUCAGCCUCCACAAGAGAAGGCUGAGAGGGGAUCUUGUGGCCGUCUGUAAACCGGCCAAGGGAUACCAGCAGGCACUGGGUUCUCCUGAGCACUACUGGGAAUAACAAGGAACAACAACCAUAAGUUGACAGAGUAGAUUCAGGCUAGAUAUCAGAAGGCACUACUUCACAGUCAGGGCAGCUAGGAUCUGGAACCAACUUCCAAGGGAAGUGGUCCUUGCUCCUACCCUGGGAGUGUUUAAAAGGAGGCUAGAUAGACACCUUGCCAGGGUCAUUUGACCCCAGCAUUCUUUCCUGCCCAUGGCAGGGGGUCAGACAUAAUGAUCUGCUCAGGUCCCUUUCAACCCUACCAACUAUGAAAAGAGGCGAGGGGGGAAACUGCUCUGAUAUUGACAUCUGUAGCUGACCAGUGACAUCUUUCCCUGAGUUCCCUUCCAAUCACAGUGCUGUGGGAGACGGAUGUAGAACCAACAUAUAAGGCUGUGUGUGAAGUGAUCUGUUUCGGUACCUUUUGUGAGCUGUCUGUCUGUCUUGAAGCGGCAUCUGAAAGGUUCUGGCUUUGUAGCACUAGUGAGUUUAUUGUUAACAGGUUGUAUACAAUCCUUUCCUACUUAUCCUUGCCUACCAUCCCUAUUGUUAUCCCUUUCAACUUAUUCUUCCCCCAAACUCCUCUUAUUUGUUCUUGUUAGUCUGUCUUUUUUUUUUUUUCCUGCCACAAAAAGAAAUCUGUGUUUUCACUGACUGUCUCAUCACUGCGCAGGAAAGUACAACACACACACACACACACACACACACACACACACACACACACACACACACACACACACACUUUACAGCACACCAAGCAUGAAGCGUGCUGGAAAGGCAGGUGCCAAGUCUUCUGGCAGGGCAGGGAGAGGGGGCAGAGGGAGAUCUUCAAGUCCGUGGCACCCCCCCAAUAUAGAUGCACCCUCUUUCCUGGCAGUCUUUUGCUGCUGGUGGGAGCAGUGUCUUCACCUGCUCCACUAACAUCAGUAAUAACAACCAACACCAGCAUAACAGUCUCUACCCCAGUUUCAGUUCCCAGCGUGAACCUUUCAGUGCCAGAGGAGGAGCUGCAUCUGGAAGCAGAAGCAGAGGAGCUGAAUGCCAUAGCUAAGGAAAUUCUGGGGAAGGAGGGGGAAUCUGAGUUUGUCCUCCACACCCCUCAGAGUUCCCCUAGAGGCAGGUCGCCUUCUCUGGACCGCCGCCAUGUAGGGGCAGCUGGCUUAGUAGUGGUGACGUGUAGGAGGUGCACAUGCACCCCUUGAGAGCACCGGUGCACCCCGUGUCAGGCCGCAUUUCCUGUUUAGGCGAUGGGCAGGGGGGCAGGCAGGAGCGCCGGUGCCCCCUGCCUGCAAGUGCCAGCUGGGAAGCGGAGUUACCAGCAAAAACGACUGCCACUUCCAGAAGUGGCCACAGGACUUUUUGGUGAGUGAGAUCAGCUGCAGAGGGGACCCCCCCCAUGAGUGAGAUCAGUUGUGGGGGACCCUUCCCCCCCAGUUGCUGACUGGUGUUGGGGGGCAUGCCCCCCCUCUGACUUAAGAGGCACCAGUCACCCAUGUGGCUUAGCUCCUCCUGUUGUGCCUCUGCCUGUUGAGGAGGGAGAUAAGGCAGGAUCCCCACCCUCAACCCAGAAGCAGGUAGGUAGUGUAGUAUGGAAUCAUUUUGAGGUGGCAGAUGAUCCUAGGUCUGCUACCUGCCAGCACUGCUGAAAGCAGAUCAGCCAGGGCAAGGAGGUGAAACAUUUUACCACCACAGUGAUGCUGCUGUAUCUCAAGAGGCAGCAUCCCCUUGCCCUUCUUCCUUCUCAGCCUAGCACCAGUGGAAUUGUGCCCAAAAAAGUCCCCUUCCUGCUCCAAAGCCCCUGUCCCCAUGAAGCAGAGGCAAGCCACCCUGGACCAGUGGGGGAAAGGCAGAGACAAAGGGCAGGGGACGUUCCCAAGGUGAGCAAGGUCACCCAGAGCAUUGGGGAGAUGCUUGCUCUGGAUGACCAGCCCUUCUCCUUUGAGUGUCCAGGGUUCAGGCAGCUCAUGGUGCUCGUGGCCCCAUUUUACCAAGUACCUGCAUGCACCAUCUUUAGCAGGCCCAUGGUGCCCUCUCUGUAUGAGGCAUGCAGGGAGUACUUGAGGGAGGAGCUGCACAAGGCAGGGCGUUACAUUUCACCUCGGACAUCUGGAGCAGCCGGGGUGGAGAUUUUACCUACCUCUCCCUUACAGGGCACUGGUGCAACCGGUCAGGGCGUCGGUGGGCUCUCCUUCAACCAGAGGUGAUGCACGAGUCCCACAUGGCAAGGGAGAUCAUGGUGGCCAUGAACCGCAUGGUGAAGGAGUGGUUCGUUGGGUAGGGCAAGCUCACCUGUGGGUUCAUGGUCACUGAUGAUGGGGCCAAUAUGGUGAAGGUGGUGCGUGGUACCAACUUGUGUUGGCAUCCGCUAUGUGGCAUACAAGUUUAACCUCAUAGUUAGGGAUGCCUGGGGGGGGUGGGGCAGAGGUCCUGGUGAUGGUGCCAUCACUACCACUACCAGCCAUCUCACUUAAAAAUGUAGGAAGGUGGUGGGCUACUUUCACCAGAGCAUCAAGGAGGGGCAAGAUGUUGUGGGACAAACAGGAAGAGCUAGGCAUCCCACAGCACAAAAUCAUGCAGGAUGUGGAGACUUGGUGGAACGCUACAUACUUGAUGUUCGAAAGGUUAUUGCUCGGGGAGACUGGGAUCAGCAGCCCCAUUAACAAAACUGAGUGGGAUACCAUCUCCCAGACUUUGGUGGUCCUCAAGCCUAGCAUAGCCUCAGUGCUGACAAUGCCCUCCUUAGCCAGGUGAUCCCCAUAGUAGGGGAUGUGUUGGCAUGUUUUACAUUUCUUGUCAUGACAUGGUCUGGAUCCAUUCAAUGUGUUUUGGGCUGUAGGAAGUUUGCUUCUGGUGAUGAGGUUACAAGCCUACAAACUUCGCUUCAUAAAUCCACUGGAUAUAAAACAAUCAUAGAUUCAGUAUAGACAUUGGAUUUAUGACACGCUAUAACCUGCCCGACAUCUGACUCCCCAGGUACCUUUCCACUUUUACCUGCUAAAUCUCGCCCCCUGAUGCCUCAAUUUACAUUUUCACUGACUGGCUUUCUUGCAUGCGUACUGGUCUCUGGCUUCUUUACUAUUCAUUCCAUCCAGGAAGAGCACACACCAACUGCAGAAGCUUCCUCAGCCUGAUUGAAGGGUUUUUAAACCUGAAAGCUUGCUAAGAUAUAUUUCUCCAACAGUUCAGUUGGUCUAAUAAAAUAUAUCAGAUUGACCCAAAGAACCUUGUCUGCCUAUGUCUUUAGACCAACAUGGCUACAACCUAUACCCUCUAACGCACAAAAGUAAUAUGAGGGUUUUUUUCAACAGUUUGAGGUGCACUUUCAAGGAGAUAAGUGCAGGGGUUUCUGUGAACCUUGGCAGGCUUCAUGUCCUCAGAAGGGGAUACCAAUGUGAAUUCCUUGUGUGGAGGAGGGAAAAGGAACAGAGUAUCUAGCAGUGUGUGCCACAGAAUGAAUCAAAGCUGGGCUCAAGACAGUAGGGGAAAAAAAGGAAAAACAUUUGGUGUGGAGCAUAGACUAGUUUUGAUUUCAGCACCUGGAAACUGGAUGAAAAAACUGGUAUGGCUUCAGUUCACAAAAAAAGACCCUGUUUGGAAAUAUUUUCAAGAAAUUCUUGUCCCACUGGGAAAAAGAGGAACAUAUACCAAAUGUUAACAGCAUAAGAGAUGCAAGACGGUACCCUGAAUGGAGCAAUGUUAUAAAAAGUGUUUCCCAGAAAGCAGUGAACUUGAAGAUGGUGAUGUGGCCGUGUCUGAGCCAUCUGGAUCAACUGGGUCCAGCUUAACCAUAAGACAUUAUGAACGUUGAUCAUUUGCAAUGUUUGCAACUUCAGAAUCAUCUAUGGUAACACCAACAGUACUGCAACUAAACAUCUCAGACAGUGAAUUACCUUAUCCAAAAAGAGACUGUCUUCAUUAUCAAGUAAAACUAUUGAUGAGUUUAUAAUCGGGACCAACAAAGUCCAGUAAGACAGCAUAGAUUAACAUAUUGCUCAGUUUCAUUAGUUUCAUAGUUGGUAGGGUCGGAAGGGACCUGAGCAGAUCAAGUCCAACCCCCUGCCAUGUCGGGAAAGAGUACUGGGGUCAAACUACCCCAGCAAGGUGUUCAUGUAUCCUCCUCUUAAAGACCCCCAGGGUAGGAGCCAGCACCACUUCUCCUGGAAGUUGGUUCCAGAUCCUAGCCGCCCUGACAGUGAAGUAGCGCCUCCUGAUGUCUAGUCUAAAUCUACCGUCUGCCAGCUUGUGACUGUUAUUUCUAGUCACUCCUGGUAGUGCUUGGGGGAACAGGGACUCCCCCAAUACCUGCUGGUCCCUCCCCGACUAGCUUGUAGACAGCCACUAGAUAUCCCCCCUCAGCCUUCUCUUGUGGAGGCUGAACAGGUUCAGGUCCCUUAGCCUCUCCUCGUAGGGCCUGCCCUGCUGCCCCCUGAUCAUGCGAGUGGCCCUCCUCUGGACCCUCUCCAUGUUGUCCUUAUCCCUCCUGAAGUAUGGCGCCCAGAACUGGAUGCACUACUGCAACUGCGGCCUGACCAGUGUCGCAUAGUGGGGGAGGAUCACUUCCUUGGACCUGCUUGAGAUGCAUCUGUGGAUGCAUGACAAGGUAUGGUUGGCCUUCCUGACCGUGUCCCCAUACUGUCGGCCCAUGUUCAUUUUGGCAUCAAUAAUGACUCCCAAGAUCCUUUUCUGCCUCUGCACUGCCAAGAAGGGAGUUCCCCAGCCUGUAGUUCAUUUAUGCAACAGUCUCGCCUUUUUAUCUUGUUCAGAACAAACAUUUCAAUGAUGUGGUUCAGUCAUUAUGACCAGGUUACGCUCCAUGCAGCAGAAUGGAUAUCAUUGAAAUGCUUCUGGAUACUGUGAGAGAAGGAAAUUCAACAGUAUACAAAAAACAUUGAAGGGAAAAAUUAAUUUGAGUUUUGAUGGAUGGUGCAGUUUACACAGUGAUCCAAAAAUAUAUGCUUGUGACACAAAAGAUGGGAUUGUUUAUCUCUUGGAAACAAUAGAUGCAUCAGGACAUGUCCAUACUGACGAAAAUUUAAAAGAAGUAGCAAUAAACCUUAUAACAAACCGGAUGUGUGGCCUUGUCACGGACAAUGCUGCAAAUGUAGAAAAGAUGAGAAGAAACUUAGAAGAAGAUGAUGAAGAUAAACCUGAAAGUUAUAACACAUGGGUGCAAUGUUCAUUUGAUACAUGUUUUAGCCAAAGAUGUACUUAAGUACUGCAGAAAUAAAGCAAACAUUUAAAUUUGCAAAAUACUCCUGUUACAGCCAGUUUGCUUCAGCUUCACUGAGAAGAGCUGGAGGAUUCAAGCUGAUUCUCCCUCAAGAUGCAUUUUGGAAUUUAGUGGUUGACUGCUUUGAGGUAUUUGUCAAGACCUGGUCUAUUCUGAUGACCACAUUUGAAAAAAAGUGAUGAAAUUGAGGGAAGUAUCACAGAUAGAAUAGUUAACAUUGGACUGAAGAGAAAUGUAGAAGGUAUGCUGAAUACACUGAAACCUACUUCCAUAGCCUUGGAUAAGCUACAGAAAGAUUGCUGCUAUAUCGCACAUGCUGUUGAAAUUUGAAAAGAACUUCAAGAAACAAAGCAAGAAAUACCCAACAGCAAAGAUGAAUUUCAGGCAGUAAAGCAGCAGAUGGAUCAGGCAUCUAUUCUACCUCAUUUUCUUGCCAAUAGUCUUGACACAAAGUACCACAUAGAUGCCUAACUGCCAAACAGGAAAAUUCUGCUAUGACCAAACAGGAAAAUUCUGCUAUGACAUAAGCAUCUGUUAAUAAUCUAUCAGUCAUGGCAAUCAUAAUCUUCAGAGCUAGAGAUGAACCAUAAAGCUGUACGUUUUCUAAGGAUGCUAUAUAAAAAAAAGUCACACCACUGAACUGGUGGUGGUCAUUAGCAAAGCACCUGGAAUCAGCGAUUAUUGUAUUUCUAAAUCUGGUUUUACCAGCAAUAGCCUUUUCUGCAGGUGCAGAAAAGAAUAUUUUCUUCAUUUGGACCAGUUCAUUAAAAAGCUGAGAAAUUGAUUGGGAGUCAUAAAAGUAGAAAAGCUUGUUUUCCUCUUCCAGUCCCUGAAUAAAAAAGGGAAGAAGGAUGAGAUUUAUGAGUUCUAAAAAUUUGAAAGGGAGUAAAAAAAUUUAAAAUAGCUUCGGUAAAAAAAAAAAAGUCCUAAUUUAAAGAUAAAGCAGGAACUUAAGCUCAAAUAACUACAUCUGGUAUGACAGGGAGCAUGCUCGGAGCUGAGUCUCAAGCCAGCACUCCCACCUGUCUAUGGGGCAGUCUGCCCAGUUUCAUCUGCCACGACUUUGCUCUUACAAUGAUCUGGUGGUAAAUAUAGGAGGCUGCCCAUUACAUGCCCCAAUGCCAGGAGGGUGUUAUCCACAGUUCCAUACCAUCCCUACACCGUGGCCUGUGCCUUGUAGAUGGCAUUUAUACAUUCUUAAUGGCUCCAACUCAAGGCCAGACUUAAAAUCACCUACAGUUAAGUUUCUUUCAGUCUGCCCAGUUAUGGGCCUCAUGCAUACAGCCCCCCUCCCCCCCCCCUCACAGGGGCCUCUUGCACUCCCCCUGCUCUCACCAGGGUCUCUGUCAUACUGCCCCACUUGGGCCACACACACUCCCUUCCCUUGCUCCCUAAGCAACCCCGUAGGGCCAUCAGGUUUAAUCCCCUGCUCUCCUCGCCCAGCAGGCACACAGCCCUUUGGGCCUCUUUCAUGCCCUCAUCUGAAUGGAUGCUGGGCAAUUCGCAGAACUGAGGCUGACACCUCCUUUUGGACCACUUCUCCACCCCUGUCACUUUGGGGCCUCAUUCUCUGCCCUCUCUCUGGGGCCUUCAUUUCCCGCCCCCUCACCGGUGCCAGGGCUCUCUGUGAUCUUCCAUCCUCACCGGCCCGGUAGACUCAGGUGCCUGCCUAGGCAUGCCUAGUUAACCAGUUCUGACUAAAAACCCACCAGAUGGUGAAGGCUAGGGUUUAGGCACCCUUCCCUGCCUUUUACUUGGGAGGCAACUGGCCUGGCACUUCUUGGGGACUCCUGCAUCACCAGGAGCCCCACCAGGCCAUCCUGCCCCAACAGGGUGCAGUUUAGGUCAUACCCAGGACUACUGAGGCCACCUCCUCCCCCAUAGCCUCUCCUUUACCUCCAAGUUGUUCCCACCCAUGGAGCUCAGCAGGGAGAUGUUCUUGCCCUGCUGGCUGGUCUCAAAAUGGCCCCUUUCAGCCCAGAAAGCUGGGCAUUAAAUGGCCACCCUAAUCAGGCACUUGCCCUCUUCCUGGCCUAGCCUUUAAAAUGUAGGCACCAAAGGUGCUCUGUUGCAUCUUGGCAUUUUAGAAAAUUUUCCCCAGGGUGAACUAAUUGGUUUAAUUUACUAACCACUGUUCAUGUUUCUACUACUAUGUAUCCGUUAAUACUAGUGUUUUAAAAAAUAGUUGUAAACAUGCACCUUGUUUUAAUAAAGAAAAAAAGUUUCUAUAUCCAAAACAUUAAAGUUUGGUUUGUUUUUUUAAUAAACUUGAAGUUCUGGUUUUGUGGGCUUAAAUUCAAGUUGACAUCUUAAUGCAGCUUGAUACAGAUUUGAGCAAAAAGUUAAUUAUUUAGUGAAUAAAUAUAUAUUUCACCAUUUCUUAAUACAUUAAAGUGUAAAAUUUCUAACAAUCCAAAUAUAUUAAGCGAUAAAUUGUGUGUGUAGUUUGGGAACCUAGGAAUGUAUGUACUAAAUCCAGCAGUUGUAAAUCAAAUGGUUUAAUUAUUAUCCCAUCAACUAAUGAAAAUACACCUUUCUUUAAAAUGUACACGUGUAUGUGUGCACAAAUAAAAUAAUUGAUGAAAAUCAAUAAUUUAAAUUGGGCUUUUGACAGGGUGGAUACAAAUCAACAAUUUCUUUUAAAUAAAAAUUGGAUUUCUUAAUUUUUUUUAUUUAAUCAUUUAUUUUAGUUGAUAAGAUUUAAAAAAAAAAAAAAGUAUAUAAAAUAGUUUUAAUUUAAGAUAUGUUAAAACUCAAAGACACCAUCACGGAAUAGGGCUUAUAACUUCUAAUGAUAUACUAUUUACAACAAUAUAUUCAUGUAGCCGUAGAAACAUUUUAUAUAUAGGUCACAACAGGCCAUGGACUAAGGGGUCCAAUCUUGUGCGGUUCCCAGAGGCUUCUCUAUAGAUUAGUAAAGACUAACAAAAACCAGUCUAUCCAAUGGGGCUCAGUGCUCAGUCUAGAAGAUCCCAUUAAGCAUCUCUGUGAUGCUUAGUUUUAGUUCUCAAACUGGAUUUGUGUCUUUGAAGGUAAAAUCCUUGUUAACAGCAAUAUAUGGAGAUGAGCAAUAACAGACCUGAUUUACCUACCUAUUGGCCCUGUUGUCUCUCUGCAAGCUUGUGUACAUAGAAUCAAGCCCUUACCUCUCUUUCUAAAAAAUGCAAAAUGUCAAGAAGUUAAAUGAAUACGGGAUUGUUGGGUGUGGAGUAGAUCUGGGCAAGGAGGAAGAGUCUGGAGAUAAAUGCAAGGAGGGCAGAACACUAGAUACAAAAAGAAGCUUUUUUGACCAGAAUAUUCUAAAAGUUGAGGGAUAAUUUUCCUUUCCAUUGAGUAUAGCCUCUUCAUUGAUUUGAAAUCUAGUGAGGGAAUGGUUUGGUAGAAAGAAAAACCCAGCCUGGCAAGCCUGCUGCUCUGAUAUAAGAGAGACCCUGUUUGGGGUCUACCUGUGGGUAAGACACUGUCUGCAUUUUGCAUGCAUGCCUAUAUAAAAGGGUGGCCUCCUCAUCAGGUCUUCGCUGGCUGCCCUGCUCCUGGGGUAACUGCCUGCUUCUCGUCUGCCACGCUUUGAUGGAAAAAUAUGAGAGUUGUUACUAAGGUGGGAGGCUACCCAUUUUUUGCCCUGCUGUGACUGCCCCUCCACGGGUCCGAUGCGUUGCAGAUGUUUCUCUGACGUUACUUCUCUGGCCUGUGGCUGAAGCAAACUAGGCACACAAUUGUAGUUCUUUUCUACAGCCCUGGAGAGCCACUCUCACACUACCCCUCUCUCAGCAGGGUACCACUCACUCUGCUGGCUCUUACCCAGUGUCUUUCAUACUGCCCUCAGAAGCCACACUCAUGCUGCCCAGUCUCAGGCCUAGCUCUCCUCUCCACAGUCAGCCCAGCGCAGUCUGUAUCUCCCACUCAUCUCCCGCUUCCCUCAUCUAAGCGAUUGUAGGCCUGUUUAGCUCCUAGUCCCUCGCUGGGCCACUAUGUCCCCACUGGGCCUCCUCACUCGCCCAGACUUACAGGCUGCUCUGUUUGUCACCCCUCUCACACAGGGUCUCUCUACUUGUUGCCCCCAGGCUUUUCUCUGCCACCUGGGUGUGGCCCCAGGUCCCUCCUCUGGUCUGAGCUCUGCGUCAGGGCUCUUUAACUGAUCCCUGGGAUACCCCUGCUCACUAGAACACCACCAGGGAGGUGGGGCUGGGGUUAAGUUGCCCCGAUCUGCCUUUCACUGGGAAAAUAACUGGCCUGGCAUUUCCUGGGGGCUCCCACGCCACUAGGAGCCCCACCAGACCACCCCUCCCCAGCAGGGUGCGGUUUUACGUCUUACCGAGGACAAGGGAUCGCCUCGUCCCAUAACACCUGCCCUCCUGACUCUGGCCAGAGCAGCCUCUCAGCCUGAUGUUUCUUCCUUCCUUCUUGCAGCAAACUGCAGCCCAGCUUAUAUUCCAGGGCCAAAAUGGCUGCCCUCGGGCACCUGGCUGCUGCCUGUUUGCUUCUCUUAAAGUGACAGGCACCACACAUGCCCUACCACACAGUGCAACAAAGAAAUAGAAGGCCUAGUUGCCCAAAUGAAACAUCAUCAUGAGAAUUGCUCCUUCCCAGGAGAAAGCUGCUUUGAAGAUGAUGAAUGGAACAUGUCUGAACAUGCAGGAUCUCCAGGUUAGUAAACAUUCUUAUUUCAUACUUCUUUAAGGUCUGCUUGUCUUCCCUGUCCAUAUCUUUUGGAUGGACUACUUGAAUUCUCAUAAAAUAUUUGAGCAAAAACAUACUUGUUACUUUAUGGAACUAUCAUAUUUUAAUGCAGCUGUGAUGUAAAAUAAUGGCUGCAAUAGGCAGAUCUUUUAACAGUUUCAUUUCUAAAGUAGUAAUACUAAAUGACCAAUACUGUAAUGACUGCAUUGGCUUCUUUUGUUCAGGAGGAUCCACGCUCAUCAUACAGGAUUCUGACUAUCCAUCUUCAACAUCAUCACUGUCUACAUUUUCACAGUUAACUGCUAAUGGUACCAGUGUUCCAGUCAAAUGUAUGUCAUAUAGUAUAUCACCUGUAGCAAAAAGAAAAAACAAAAAACAAACAAACAAUCUCCAUCAUCCAGAAACAACCAUAGAAAAGUUUGUAAUAGGAACGAGCAGAUUACAGCAAGAAGUAAUUGAUGAAAAAAACUGCUCAGUUUGUUUAUGCAAUACACAACCGUUCCAUAUGGUUGAGAACACACACUUCAUUGACAUGGUUUGAUCAUUACGACCAGGAUACAGUCCACUCAGAGCAGAUAUAACAGGUGAAUUGCUGGAUAAAGUGUAUGAGAGAGAAAGUGAACAGUGUGUAAACAAUCUAGAGGGGAAAAUUGUUAGCCUGAGUCUUGAUGGGUGGAGUAGUGUCCACAAUAUUCCAGUAGUAUGUGCUUGCUUGACAACAGAAGAAGGGACUGUCUACCUUACAGAAACAAUUGAUACAUCCGGAAAUGCACACACAGCAGAACACUUACCAGAAGUAGCAGUAAAAGCUAUAAGAAACUGAAAAAUUAAAUGCUGCAAAUGUAUCAAAGAUGAGUAGAAAUCUAGAAGAAAGUGAAGAAAACCCCAAGCUAAUACCUUUAUGGCUGCAGUGCUCAUUUGAUGCACCUGUUAGCCAAAGACUUCAGUACUCCAGAAAUAAGAGGCUGAUGCUGUAAAAUAUUUCUAUAACAAUGACUCUGCAGCAGCUGCUCUGAAGAAAGCAGGAAGAACCAAACUAACUCUCACUUAAGGCGUGUGAUAGAACUUGGUAGUGGACUGUUCUGAGCGAUAUAUUGAAAACUGGCCUAAUCUGAUGACAAUUUGUGAACAAAAUCGUGAGAAAAUAGAUUUAACUGUCAUAGCCCAAUGUCGAGAACUUUGGCUAAAGAGAAAAUGCAGAACAUAUACUGAAAUUCUGAAGCCUAUUUCCGUAGUCUUGAAGAAAGUACAGGGAAAUUGCUGUUUUCCUGCUGGUGCUAUUGAAAUGUGUGGCAGCCGAGGGCAGUCUAAGGCUAUGGCCAGUAGCCCGGACCGUCAGGUGGGUAUUUUCCACGAUGGAAUAGAGUUAGGCACGGAAGCGUAUUGGUUGUAUAAAGAUAGCUUUACUUACACUGCCGAUGGUCGCAGUGCAGGAAGAAAACUUGCUUGAAUUACAGUUGCACACAAACACGGGUGAGAUCUCUCUUGGAACCGAACCGAGAUGAGUCAUCGGUGUACGACUCCACGAGCACUCAACACGGGGGUACGUCAAUAUUUCCACGAUGACGGGGAGUGGUUAGAGGCUGAUCAGGCCCCUAAAUUCUCCUCCAAGACACGCACGGAGUUUGCUAGGCUCCACAGCGCGCUUAGAGUUCCCCACGAGAUGGUUGUGGAGUCCUCCAACUUGGGCGGAAACUGCUCUAACCUUUUAUACGGGUAGCAAACCAAUUGCUAGCCGCCAAGUAGGAAUAAUUUAGAAUUGACAAAAUUGCAUACGUGUGGCAGGAACUCUUUUGCACCGGGGUUUUCUCUCUGCAGCUGAGAAAUCCACCGUGCAAAGAAAGCUCCAUGUGGCGGGAAAAUUCCACUGUGCCGAGGCACUAAAAAUCAUUGGGUUAUGACAAUAUGGAAGGAACCGAGUGAGACCUUGAUGUGGGGAAGCAAUGACAGAGUUAAAUUACAGGCAUUAAAAAAAAAAAAAAACAAACAAAAAAAAACACCACACGUGAAUGGAUCAAGCACUAUCUCUUGCCAGUAUUCUCAAUGCUAGGUACUAGGGUCAUUGUUUAACUGAUGAAGAAAAGGAAUUGGCUAUGACAUGGGCAUCCAGCAAUCAUUCCUCCAUAGUAUCAACUAUAAUUUCAGAGCUAAGGGUGAACCAUUCAUGAUGAAACAAGAAAUAUGUUUGCUGAUGAGGUUUUAAAGAAAGUCACACAAGUGAACUGGUCGCAGUCACUGAAACACCUGGAUCCAUCAGAGACAAUUGAAGUGAUAAUCCAGCUUUUUAACAGCAGUAGCUUCUUCUUUAGGUGUAGAAAGAAUAUUUUCUUCCUUUGGACUAAUUCAUUCUAAAUUAAGAAACUGCUUGGGAACUGAAAAUUUUCCAGUCUGUGAAUAAACAGGAAGGGGAAUGUGAAGACUGAAUUUGCUGCAUAACCCAGUAUUUUACAUUUCUUAUGUUGACUUGGCUGAAAUAAUCCAUUAUAUUUUUGUUAAAAACACAUUUAUAAGUAAAAUAGUUUAAAAUUCAAAAAUACUUACGCUUGUUUUGUUAAAUUAUAUGUUUGUUGUUGAAGAAAAAUAUCCAAAAUACGCAAGUUUGUUGUUGUAGUUAAAUAAAGCUAUUUUAAGUGUCUGUUGUUUUUGGUGACAGUUGUUGUCCUCCUAAUACAGCGUGGCAAAAAUAUCCCGCAAAUAUCUAUGAUUAAUCUAGUGCCUUGGAGAUGGUUCACCUCCCGAUGACUUCACAAGUACUUGCUUCAAUUAGCUUUGGUAAAUAAAAUAACCAAAUCAUGAAUCGGUUUUCUGAUGUGGCUAUUAAGUUAAUCUGAAAAAAUUUAUCAAAAUAAGUCACUGUUUUAAAAUGUAUAGUGUGUACCUUUUAAAAAUGAAACCUACAUCCAUAUCUGAGUUAUGAAUAAUACGUAUUAAGGUUUUAUCAAACAACAGGAAUGCACUUUGUGUAGAAAAAGGUGAUUAAAUCAAGCCUUCCUGACCAAUGAUUUAAAUCAAAGCCAAUCUGGCUUUUGGUUUGCUGAUUUUAAACUCUGCAAUUUUCUCAUCACCAGGGAUCCAGGUUUUCCGUUUCCCAUGGAAAAAUGGAGAAAACCACAGAUUCCCUGUUUUUUUAAAAAAAAAAAAAAAAAAAAAAAAAAAAAUCGGGGAAUUCUGCAUUUUCUCCUUUUAGCAGAGAAAUCCACGGGUUCUCCACCCUUGCAAAGAGCUCUUGCAGGCUGGCACAGUUCCAAUCUGCAAGAGCUGAUUGGAGAAGGGGUGGGAAAUCCCUAGCCCUGCCCAGAGGGGGAAGGAAAAGGGGAAGGAUGUAAUAUUUUUUCAGUAUCGCUUAGCACAGAACUCAAAUACAACCACACUGAGUAAGUUAUUAUUGUACAUUAUGGACAUUGUCUAUUAAAUCUUUCAUAGAUCUUCAAAGAUGCAAUAAAAUACUUCAGUUAAUUGCUGUAGAAAGAGUAGUUGGGUGUGGCCUCCAAAUAAUUUGCUACAGACAUUCUUGAUGAUAAUGCUUUUUAUCUGAGAAAUUCAAAAUUUAACUUCCUGCUUAAGCCUGUUGAUCAGUUCAUUCAGAAUAUGGAAAAUGAUACAUCAACAUUGUCUGAUGCUAAGAAUGAGUUCCUGGUUAUUUAAGAAGCAUAUUUGCAAGAAUACUGAACAAAAUGCGCUUAAACUGAAAAAAAAAAAAAAAUAGAAUUAUAUCAUGGGAAAUUAAGCCUUAUAGUGCUUGCUUCAAAUUUUAAAGAUUAUAAAAACAAUUCUGGUGAAGAUAGCAAAUUAUAAAAGCAAGAAGCUAUCCAUUCAGUCCAGGGGUGGGCAAAAUGCGGCCUGCCAGGCCAUUCUAUCCAGCCUGUGGGGCCCCUAAACUAAUUUAGAAAAAAUUUAUAUUAAUCUGCUUCUGGCUGCCUGUCAUGCGGCCCUCCGAUGGCUUGCCAAAACUCAGUAAGUGGCCCUCCACCCAAAAUAAUUGCCCACCCCUAAUUCAGUUGUAAACAAUGUGGUGUGCAAUCCCAGCAAUUUCAUUUAAGCAGCUCUCUUCUUUCAUUAUAGUGGAGAGGGAUGUGUCUUUGUAAUCUAACUACAGCGGCAGAAAUACUUAUCGUGAUUCCUUGUACUACUGUGUGUUCAGAACAAAAUUGAUCGGUUUGGGGAAACAUCUCUUUAAAAUCCAAAAAUAAACUGAAGACUUCCACUGCUGGGAAGUUGGUGACCAUAUAUAUCACAAUGGAAGAUGAAGGGUUGAGUCAGUAUUCAGAUGAAGGGGAAGAAGGAGAUGAUAAUGUGUACACAUAAAGCAAUUGAAGCUGAUGAAGUUAAAAAAAAAAAAAAAAAAAAGUAAAA